AUGACUUCUCUUAAUGGAUUGUUUACUUUGAAUUUAUCAUGGAAUCACCUGAGUGGAAAAAUUCCUAGGAACAUUGGGGCUAUGAAAUCACUAGAAUCACUCGACUUAUCAAGGAACAACCUUUUCGGUGAAAUCCCAACAAGCUUGUCAGAUUUGACGUAUCUAAGCUCCUUGGACUUGUCAUACAACAAUCUUGUAGGAAGAAUUCCGACAGGACGUCAACUUGACACCCUCUACGCCGAGAACCCGUCCAUGUACAGCGGCGAUAAUGGUCUUUGUGGGCCUCCUCUUAAAAAGAAUUGCCCAGGCAACAAUGCUUUAGAGCAUGGUGAUCAGCAGAGAAGAGAAAAUGGUUAUGAUCCAGUGGUGUUCUUCUACUUUGGGCUGACGGCGGGCUUUGUGGCGGGACUCUGGAUUGUCUUUUGUGCUCUUCUGUUCAAAAGAGCAUGGAGGAAUGCUUAUUUCCGCCUCUUUGACAAGCUACAUGACAAUGUGUACGUGUUUGUUGUUGUUACUUGGGGCAUGAUAACCAGUAAGACAACUACAAGUUAA
rnacentral:rRNA from 1 species